GAUGAACGCUGGCGGCGUGCCUAACACAUGCAAGUCGAGCGGAGAUAAGAUGAGUACUUGUACAAAUUUUAUUUCAGCGGCGGACGGGUGAGUAACACGUGAGUAACCUGCCUUUCACUGGGGAAUAACAUCGAGAAAUCGGUGCUAAUACCGCAUAAUGUCACGAUACCGCAUGGUAAUGUGACCAAAGGAGUAAUCCGGUGAAAGAUGGACUCGCGUCCGAUUAGUUAGUUGGUGAGGUAACGGCUCACCAAGACAGCGAUCGGUAGCCGAACUGAGAGGUUGAUCGGCCACAUUGGGACUGAGACACGGCCCAGACUCCUACGGGAGGCAGCAGUGGGGAAUAUUGGGCAAUGGGCGAAAGCCUGACCCAGCAACGCCGCGUGAAGGAAGAAGGUCUUCGGAUUGUAAACUUCUUUGAUCAGGGACGAAAAAUGACGGUACCUGAAGAACAAGCCACGGCUAACUACGUG
rnacentral:rRNA from 1 species